UACACCCACCUUGGAGUCCUCAUCAAAGUUCCAAUGGGGUGACAUAACAUAAAUUAAGUUUGGUUUACAAUAAUUAUCAUUAAACAUUAAGAUCAUGUACUAGAAAGGGAUUAACAUAAUAUUAUGGUCAAGCACAACUCUAAACUUUCAUAAGCAUCAUUACAUAACAUUUCUAUAUCAUACUUUUACAUUACAUCAUAUCCAUGUCCAUCUCUAGC
rnacentral:lncRNA from 1 species